rnacentral:misc_RNA from 1 species
GAUGAAGAACGUAGCAAAAUGCGAUACUUGGUGUGAAUUGCAGAAUCCCGUGAACCAUCGAGUUUUUGAACGCAAGUUGCGCCCGAAGCCUUUUGGCCGAGGGCACGUCUGCCUGGGCGUCACGCAUCGCGUCACCCCCCACAAAUUCUCCGUCAGGGGAGCUUGUGUUUCGGGGGCGGAUACUGGUCUCCCGUGCUCAUGGCGCGGUUGGCCGAAAUAGGAGUCCCUUCGAUGGACGCACGAACUAGUGGUGGUCGUAAAAACCCUCGUCUUUUGUUUCGUGCCGUUAGUCGCGAGGAAAGCUCUUCAAAAACCCCAACGCGUCGUCUCUUGACGGCGCUUCGACCGCGACCCCAGGUCAGGCGGGACUACCCGCUGAGUUUAAGCAUAUCAAUAAGCGGAGGA